rnacentral:rRNA from 1 species
CACGUAGGGUGCGAGCGUUGUCCGGAAUUAUUGGGCGUAAAGAGCUCGUAGGCGGUGUGUCACGUCGAUCGUGAAAACUUACAGCUUAACUGUGAGCGUGCGGUCGAUACGGGCAUCACUGGAGUUCGGCAGGGGAGACUGGAAUUCCUGGUGUAGCGGUGAAAUGCGCAGAUAUCAGGAGGAACACCGGUGGCGAAGGCGGGUCUCUGGGCCGAUACUGACGCUGAGGAGCGAAAGCGUGGGGAGCGAACAGG